CUUUUGAUCAGACUCUGUCCUGAAGGGGUUAAAGGAAGCAGUAUUAUAUAUAAAAUUAUACACAUAAAUAUAACUAGAUGUUUGUAUAGUUUUCUUUUCACUGUAGUGCAUACAGACAUGGCUGAACGUGCUGUGAGUUGGUUGUGUAUACACAUUCCCACACUAUACCAUUCCUGAUCAUGCUAAGCACUGUAUGACAUUUAGCUUGAUG